rnacentral:rRNA from 1 species
CGCAUCUGUGCAUGCAGCAUAUCAAUAAGCGGAGGAAAAGAAACUAACAAGGAUUCCCUUAGUAACGGCGAGUGAAGCGGGAAGAGCUCAAAUUUGAAAUCUUCAAGGUUUUACCUUGACGAAUUGUAGUUUAAAGAAGUGUUUUCUGUUGAAGUUUUGGUAAAAGUUCUUUGGAAUAGGACAUCAUAGAGGGUGAGAAUCCCGUAUUUGACCAUUAUUUUCAGCUGUGUGAUACACUUUCAAGAGUCGGAUUGUUUGGGAAUGCAGUCCAAAAUGGGUGGUAAAUUUCAUCUAAAGCUAAAUAUUGGCGAGAGACCGAUAGCGAACAAGUACCGUGAGGGAAAGAUGAAAAGAACCUUGAAAAGAGAGUUAAACAGUACGUGAAAUUGUCAAAAGGGAAGCGUUUGACACCAGUGUUGUUUUCUCGAAAAUCAAUUAAAAAGAGUUUGAUUUUGUUGUGUAUUGACCUUAACAGCUUGCAUUUCAAUUUUCUUGCUUUUUUUAAUGCUACUUUUCGUUUAACAAGUCAACAUCAGUUUCUUUUGUUGUAAAAAGGUCAUUGGAAGGUGGCUUUCUUUUCGGAGAAAGUGUUUAUAGCCUUUGACUCCUGCAAUCGGAGAGACUGAGGUCUGCAGCGUAGAUCCUUCGGGGUUAGAUACAUUUGUGCUAAGUUAUAGCUUUUUAUAGACAACUUGUUGACUAUGAUUAGUCUUGUAGCUUACUCGCUUAUGCUAUUUUACCUACGCUUAGGAUGUUGAUGUGAUACUGCGAGCA